AGUGAACGCUGGCGGUAGGCCUAACACAUGCAAGUCGAACGGCAGCACAGUAAGAGCUUGCUCUUACGGGUGGCGAGUGGCGGACGGGUGAGGAAUACAUCGGAAUCUACUUUUUCGUGGGGGAUAACGUAGGGAAACUUAUGCUAAUACCGCAUACGACCUACGGGUGAAAGCAGGGGAUCUUCGGACCUUGAGCGAUUGAAUGAGCCGAUGUCUGAUUAGCUAGUUGGCGGGGUAAAGGCCCACCAAGGCGACGAUCCGUAGCUGGUCUGAGAGGAUGAUCAGCCACACUGGAACUGAGACACGGUCCAGACUCCUACGGGAGGCAGCAGUGGGGAAUAUUGGACAAUGGGCGCAAGCCUGAUCCAGCAAUACCGCGUGGGUGAAGAAGGCCUUCGGGUUGUAAAGCCCUUUUGUUGGGAAAGAAAAGCAGCAGGUUAAUACCCCGCUGUUCUGACGGUACCCAAAGAAUAAGCACCGGCUAACUUCGUG
rnacentral:rRNA from 1 species